UAUGAGGCAGGUCAUUGUCACAAUACCAACUGUGGAUGUGUCUACCCAGGCACCCUGUCAUCGAAAAUCUAUAGGUGAUACAUCCCUUCAGAAGCGGGACCAUGGAUCAAGAGGUGUGUUCACAGCAGGCUGCAGGGUUCCAAACAGCACGUUUCCUCCACAGUGCAGUCCAGACACAGAAUCACAGAUGCUGAAAGUCUACUCUCUGUCUCUACUCCCCAUCUGAUGUUCAUGGUAGAGAACGUCCAGGACAAGGAGCAGACUUGGAAUUACUAAGCCUGUCUCUAAUCUCUCCCAUCCCCUCCGGUGGUUUUGUCCGAGGUAGACCUCUCUUGUGUCUUUUGUUCCCUAAUAACACUCUCUCUGAGUGGGACUUCCCCCAGGGGUUAAUUUAUGUAUUUGCAUUACACAUUCUGGAACAGGGGUGAUAAGCACAGGUUGAAUCUGUGGAAUCAGGGAACACUGGUAAAUGUGAGCCAAGUGUCCAUCCACCAGCAGGCCUGCCAAAUUUGGGCAUCAGCCUGUGAUCAGAGCCAUCCUUCAAAGGUCCCCAGAAAAUAUAGUGUUUCCCGUUUUCCAGAG